AUGCACGCCAAGACAAUCUCGGAAAACCCCAAGUACCCCUACGCGCGAAGACACCAAGACCAUUUCGGGAUUCACCAAGUACCACUACGGCGACAUGAACAUAUACGGACGUGUACGACUACCUUGCCCAAAAUACCGUGGGUCACAAGCGCCAUGAACGACUACCGUCACUUGGGUUCGACAAGAUGCCGAGUACCACUACGUUUGCCAUGUACAUCUACACCAAGACCGACAACCGAACGACUUAAUACCGAAACGUCAACUUCCUCGAUGAACCGUGUACAACUACCAUCGCCUCGGAGAUGUUGGGUUCAUCAAGUUCCUCUUCGGGAAACUACCACUACUUCUACGACGAUACGAGAACAACUACCCUUGUUAAAUGCCGUCAAGUGA
rnacentral:rRNA from 1 species